CAAACCAACACCGAUAUAGUGCAGAACCUACUAUUUCAAACCACCAAUUUCUUCCUCGGACAACCUCUCCGCAAUAACCUACAAAUAACGCAAGAUUCAAAACCUAUAAAGAUUACAUUUUUUCUAAUAAAUAUAACAAAACAAAGAAAAUCCAUCAUUCAAAAUCCAAAAAAUAUUGAAUUUUUCCAACAAAGAUACCUAAAGAAAGAAAAUCCUAAAAUUAAAAUCUCAAUAACUAUUAAACCUACCAUUGAAUCAACAUGUGUGGAUUAUUCAGACUCCAAACGGUGGAUACCAGUUCACAAAUGCGAUGAGAAC